ACCAGAUACUCGAAUUAGCUUGAAAAUCGUAGCUUUGAUUCCUGGAAUUACUGUUACCGUGACCCAACAGCAUCUCGACUCAACUUGAUCCAUAAUACCAGGGAAAAUGUGGAGGCAUAAUUACGAAUGCCGUUCGAGAGGAAGUGAAACGAUCGGAAUACCGUCAGCUGUUUGCUUUUCUUACCUUUCAGAGAUCUUUCACGGUCAACGUUGAUGUAUCACUGUGUUUUAACAUAAUGGAUAUUACACUCGCGACCAUAUGUCGCUUAAUGGAACGAAUGCAAUUAGUUCUGAAUUUUGUCUCUUCGGUAGUGAUGAGAUUCGUGAUUGAAGAGUUUACAGGAAAGAUUAUCGUAUUUGCAUACUUUAACCCUUUCACACUCUAUAAUCAUAAAAAUGAUUAUUAAAAGAAACUCGAGUUAAUCAUCAGGCUGAACCUUCUUCGUGUUCCACAUAAAUCUUAUUUUCCAUUUGUAUAAUUUUAACUUGCCACGAGCUACUUGGAAAUCAGCUGUGGUAUAUAAAUUGAACAUUAUUGUUAGAAACUACUGAACAUUUAAUUUAUAGUUCUGUUGCGAAUGCACUCGUUCAAAGUGCAACCUAGGUGCAUUCUCGGUCUGAAUUGCGCAUCUGUGAGUCCUUGUACCGUUAUUUAACACGGAAAUUUUGAAAAAAUUUACGACGAGACGAUCGUAAAGUUCAUCGUCACAGAGCGGAAAAGAAAAUGAAUUUUACGCUGGUCAGACGGAGCAGGCGAAAAUUAAAGAGCACGGUGCACGUGCUACCUCUAUGCAUUUUGCAACGUUCAACUGAUUACGAUAGCCGUUUCCCGACGACUGCUCGAUGAAAUAUUACCGAACGUGCCGUGUUACCAGACAUCCUUUGGACUAGAAUACUCGCAAUGUUUUACAGGCCGAACACCUUCUGGCGUCAUGUUUUUAUCUCUGAAGAGAGAAACUUUUUAAGCUCGACAAAUACGACUAUGAUCUAUAAGAAAUUUGAAGAUCUCUCGACUUACUUGCAAACUUAGAAGAGGAACAGGUGUAUCCAUCACCUCUGCCAAACACAGAGCGAUCAUCAUCACGAUGAUAAGCUGACCGUAGACAUUCGAUAGAACGAUCCAUAGCUGCGAACUACGAUAGCCUCGACGGGUACCCUCGAAACACCGUCCAUGAUGAAGAAUCGACAACUUUUCUGAAGAGAUAACAAGGGAGAAACGCUCCGUACACUAUCGCGAAACAGAAUGCCAAGUAACCCAGAAGAGAACAUCUUGGCAGUGGAUACAAAAUGAUGGUGGUGGCGAUGAUGGUGGUGGUGGUCACCAUGAUGUGCAUGAUUAUGUCGAUGAUGAUAAUGAAGAUGACCAGGAGGACGAUGAUGAUGUCGUUUCUUUUAGCUUCGUUCAGCUUACGUUGCUUUUAUUUUCACGUCGAAGAAGACUGAAAUUCUUUUUUUUUUUUUUUAUGGAA